CAUUAGGAUCGUCAUUCGUCACCGCUAAUCAUAGCCCAAAUACCCGUAAUAAUUAACGAGAAAAACUCAAUUUUUUCCAACUUUAACCUCAACCGCGAUAUCGUUGAUUUAUCGUCCAAUCAGGGAGACACGGAAAACAUCUCUUUGUCACGUCCGUGACGAACGCUUCCGAAACGCGGAUGAUCCUCUUAUCAGUGCCCGACUUGCCACGAGCCGAACCCACGUGUGUCCGUCAUCCAUUUCAAAAUGGCGAUGGACAAACUCAUGCUCCUGAACGAGGUCGCUCGGAGCAUCCUCGAAGCGGAGGACGACGAUAGCGGACCCUCGCAACCCAAAAAACCCAACGUCGUCGCCGAGGACCCCGAUCCAGGACCUUUCUUCGAGGACCGAGACCGAGACCUUUCGCCGAGACCUUUCGUGCCCGUGACGCAGUGCUGCUACCUCCUGUGCCACGACAAAGUUCCCAAGGACGAUCAACGGAAACUUUGGGACCUCUGGGAGAAUACGAUGGGGAUGGACAAAGCCGCUCAAGACGAGUAUCUAUCCAGCUUGAUCGAGUUCCGACCGCCGGCUACCGUCAAAGUUGAACCGAAAAGGAAAAGGGAAUACCUUUGGAGGUACACCAUCAACCCGAACGGCACCGAAAUUCAAUGCUGCCAAAAAUUCCUGCUCAAACUCUACCAAAUCUCCGAGAAGCGACUGCGCGUGAUCCAGGAGAAAACGCGAAACGGCGACUCCUUCGUCGAAAAGCGCGGGAAACACUCCCGUCCGAAGCCGAAAGCACAGAACCUCUGGGACUUAGCCGAGGAGCACCUAGCCACCCUCCCUUUCACGCAGGGACUAGACGGGACGGAUAAAAGGUACCUCAAGGAUUCCUCCCUCACCAUCAAAAAAGUCUGGGCCAUGUUCGAGGAGUGGUACGAGGCCACGACCGGGCAAGAGUUGGUCGGGCUGUCCUACAAGACCUACCACAAGAAGUUCCAGGCCUCCAAGAAGUACGCGUUCCUUUACCAGUUGGUCAUCCCUGACGAGAUUAGCGGGAAUACGUGGCUCGAUGAACCGACCAAGCAGCUCAUGGAGGAAGAGAAACCGCCGAAAGGAAAGAAACGAAAAGGAAAGUCGAAGAAAUGA
rnacentral:lncRNA from 1 species